rnacentral:rRNA from 1 species
UGGGCCUACGGGGCGCAGCAGUGGGGAAUAUUGGGCAAUGGGCGCAAGCCUGACCCAGCAACGCCGCGUGAAGGAAGAAGGCCCUCGGGUUGUAAACUUCUUUUGUCAGGGACGAAGCAAGUGACGGUACCUGACGAAUAAGCCACGGCUAACUACGUGCCAGCAGCCGCGGUAAUACGUAGGGGGCGAGCGUUGUCCGGAAUCACUGGGCGUAAAGGGCGCGUAGGCGGUAAUAUAAGUCAGAUGUGAAAGGUGGGGGCUCAACCCCUAGAGUGCAACUGAUACUGUAUAACUUGAGUG